rnacentral:lncRNA from 1 species
AUUAUAUUAAGGCCCGGUCUUUUCACCUCCGAAUAAAUAUGCCCUUAUCUUGCAGUUAGCUAUCUGGAGGAUAAAUAUUUAUUCGCCAGAUAAAAUGUACCCGUCUUUUCACGUCAAUUUAUGUUCUAGUUAGUUAUCCGGUAGAUAAGCUUAAAAGUAAGUUUGGAUUCGGAACACACCUGAUUUUUGUGUUUAUUUUUAUAAUUUCAGCUUUAACUUAACCUAAAAUAAUUAGAUUCACAUAAUCAAGAUGAUUUUAUCGAUUUUAUUUCCAUUUUGGAAGAAGGAAAUGUAAGAAAAUCAAAGAAUAACAACUUAAAAAAUAAGUAUAUAAAGUCAUAGUCAUAAGGUUUAGAAAUACAUUUCCAUAUUUUAAUCAGACCAUAUUGUUUUAGAAGGAAAACAUUGAUUAUGGUGAAAAAGUUUACUGGAGAACUUGAACAAGAGUAAAUCAAUUUUAAAUUAGUAGGAAACUGUUGAUUUGUAUGUAAAGAAGACAAGUUUAAAUAAAGACAAGCUAGCUAAUGAAACAGAUGCGGUGUUACAGAUAUGACAAACAUCUAGAAGAUGGAAUCCUGCGUUCUUAAAGAAAAAAACUAGUUCCAGAAGUAAGCUACCAAAUAAUAAACUAGAGAAUGUAUUACAAGAAAGAACAACGCUAAUACUCAACAUAGCUCAAUUGCUUCAGAUA